rnacentral:rRNA from 1 species
AUUGAACGCUGGCGGCAUGCUUUACACAUGCAAGUCGAACGGCAGCGCGGGCUUCGGCCUGGCGGCGAGUGGCGAACGGGUGAGUAAUACAUCGGAACGUGCCCAGUAGUGGGGGAUAGCUCGGCGAAAGCCGGAUUAAUACCGCAUACGACCUGAGGGUGAAAGCGGGGGAUCUUCGGACCUCGCGCUAUUGGAGCGGCCGAUGGCAGAUUAGCUAGUUGGUGGGGUAAAGGCCUACCAAGGCGACGAUCUGUAGCUGGUCUGAGAGGACGACCAGCCUCACUGGGACUGAGACACGGCCCAGACUCCUACGGGAGGCAGCAGUGGGGAAUUUUGGACAAAGGGCGAAAGCCUGAUCCAGCAAUGCCGCGUGUGUGAUGAAGGCCUUCGGGUUGUAAAGCACUUUUGGCGGGAACGAAAAGGACUGUGCCAAUACCACGGUUCGAUGACGGUACCCGCAGAAUAAGCACCGGCUAACUACGUG